CGAGUGGGGUUUCCGUAGUUCACCGUAAGGGUCCAACGCAGCAGGUAGCGACAACUAAUUGCGGAAACAAAGUUGUCCAGUUUUUGCCAAGACUGGACAGCCAUUAAACAGGCGGAGGACGAUGCAAAGCAUUCGUGACUGAUAGAUUAGAAAUUUUGCCGACUUUUCGCAUAAAGACAAGAUAAUCAAAUGAAUAAAAGACACGCUGUUGUUGGCAAGGACUGUUCAUCAUGAUGGCGAAUGAAAUGGAAUUAUGUUCACCACGAACGGAUGGAAGUCUCAACGCCUGCAUGACCCGAUGACGUGUGAAAGACUAGAAAGCCAUCAGCAAAACCGGCCAGCACCAGAAGUCACAUUCACGCGUGCAAGAGUCGAAGAGGUGGGCGGGGCUGAGGUGAAACCCCCCCCCCCGCCCUCGUGAGCGUCGAUCUUGACCUUUUGCGCGGUCCCGGCGUGACGGGUGUGGCGAGGGAGGAGGCGGAAUCCGGCCACGCGGCGACGCGACGCGACGCGACGCCCUCGGUGCCGGCCGCCGUCGCGGACUCUCGGCUCGCUCGGGAGGCGGAUUGGGGGCAAAUCUCCAGCGUGGGCGGAGAUAACGAGUGUUAUCUGCUGUCGGGGCCUUCGGAGAGAGAGAACGAGGACGAGGAUGUCACUCAGGCCCAGACACUCCAAUGAGACGCGCCGCACGACGCGGCCAAAACCGAACCACAAAAACAGGGUGCGAUUGUCAAGGAAGCAACAGCUUACCCCGGGCGCUUUUGCGCUGACAGGUCCCCCACCUGGACAAGCUUGGACAAUGUCUGCUUCUUGCGGGAACACUGGCUUAAUCAGGCGGGCCGAGCAGCGCCGCCGCCGCCGCCGCCCUAUCUGCUUCUCCAUUUGCUGGGGAAAAUCCUGGCAAAAGAGGCUAAAGCUCACUUUCAUGCUUGUCUUUCAUUCACCGACCGCACGGGCGCUUAUCGAAGACGCCCCCCGCCCCCCGCCCCACUCGGCUUCAAAACCGCCAUCUUCCCUCCUACGAGCAUUUUUUUUUUUUUCUUCUUCUUCGUCUUUUUUUUUUUUUUGCCGGGUGAAGAUGCUCGACGUAAGUACGGCCCAUCCGGCUAAAUGGGAAUCUCUCCUCGCUGUCACCGCUGCCACGUUAUGCCCCUGAGGGAACAUUCUCUUCAUAAUAUCAUAAGCUGCUUAGCGGUGUGCUUCUAUUUAAGGCAUACAUAUUAAUAGCUAUAAGCAAAUCAUAUUGGAAAGUCUUGCGCGCUGUGUCUCGCUGCCUUUUGCCGCUGUUGUGCCGGCUGUAAGAAGGUGCUAAUAACUGCGAGGCCCCUCGCGCGCCGGACCGUCUAAUCCCGAUAAGCGCUCCUCCGCGAGGCGGGGGGAGGGGGCGCAGAUCACAAGACCCCGGGAAAAAAAAGAAAGAAAGAAAGAAAGAAAGACCAAGACUCCCCUUUUCCUUCCCUUUUUCCCAACGCUUGUAAUCCACGUUUGCGAGAAUUCCACUUGAACUUCCCGUCAAGCGCGCGCAGCAAAUCGACGACGUGGCGCGUUCGGAUGAUGACUUGACGUUAUUUGGGCGUUUUCACUUCCCAAUUGCUACCUGCUGCAAAUUCAAAUCGGAAUUUAUUAUUUUUCAUAUAUAUACUGUAUAUAUAUCAUCACAUCAUGUAAUUGUGAUGACAUUUUUAUUUUAUUUUUUUUUUUUUUGGGGGGGGGUCAGAAU